rnacentral:lncRNA from 1 species
GUCAGUUGCAAGGGUGUGAGGCAGAAGCAACACAAAAGAUCUUGAUAUGAAGCAAUUAUUUUUGGUCUUAAACUGCUGGGACUCCAGAUGACCCAGACCACGGUCAGCAGGCAGAAGCCAGAUGCUAUUGUCAACAGAAUUGCCUUCAAGAUUCCUUUUCUGAUUGUUCAUUGCUGAGAUGACAUCUCACUAUAUUGCCCAGGCUGGUCUUGAACUUCUAGCCUCAAGCAAUCCUCCCACCUCAGCCUCUGAACGUACUGGAAUUACAGAUGGAGCAACUGAGAUUCUUCCCCAACUAGACUAUAAGUUCUCUGAGGGAUAAGGAACAUGUCUGGUUUCCUCAUCUCUCUGUCACAGCACCCUGUGAAUGCCUAGAAGACAGUAAGAAUCAACUGAAUGUUUGUAGAAAGAAUAACGAUACUUACCUAUAGUCUAAAGGUUUAGUGAUGAAAUGAAGUCCACUAACUUCUCUCUGCUUACUUCCACCCUCAAUAACAUAUUUCCUCAAACCCCACAGAGGAAAGACAAUUCAUUUUUUACUAUUGUUUAAUAGAGCCAUGUUUGUAUGUAGCUUCCUGUUCCGCUUAGCCCAAGACAUUAAGUGGGUCAGGAGUAAACUCUGCCCUCUGUUUUUUUCCAUUCCUUUGUCACCUGCUCAAGUGGCAGCCCAGAGCCGCUUGGCGGCUUCCCUGAAGAUGAGCAGAGUGCAGUAGAUUAGGCAUGGCCUUUCUAUCUAUUUCUACUAUGGAGAAGCUGAAAAAGCUAUAUGGCUGGAAAAAAAUCACCUUGGUACUAAUUUGCUAUUUUACAAUAUUUGAAAAUAAAGACCUGUGGUCUUCCUAUGUAUUUCUUUUUAAACAAUGAGGGGUAUGGAACAUCUAUGAAUAAACAUCAAGGUCUUCAAGUGAAUUUUCAGGUUGUGAAGUAUGUGAUUUGUUACUACUAGGGAGAGAUGUUUCCUAACCAUAAAAAUGAAUGUGACUUUUUUUUUUUAAAGGAUGCAACUAAAUUAUAAAAGACAAUCAUUUCACUGGUGGGAAUAGAAUUCACUUAUUCUGAGUCAUGCCUAUUGCAUUACAUUUUGUUUAGCAUAAUUAAUGGUGAAUCUGAGUUGUCCCACAGAAGUAAACCCUAAUUCUCCUCUCCCUACUUCUACCUCUCUCAUUUUAAAGUCUUCAAUUAGUUUUUCCCAAAUGUUUCCAGUCUUAAGAUUUACGGAAUUUGAAGCCUUUCCCAAAGAUCCAAUCUUCCAGAUAAAAGGAAAAUAUAAUAUAGCAUUCCAAUAAAAAUAAGAUAUUCUGGGGUUUCCAUUUUUAAUUAUACCAAUUUUUAAUGUUCAUUAAAUAUAUUUCCCUCUGCCAAGAAGAGAUCUUUUUAGAAAUGUUUGUUUCUUAACCAGUGUACUGUUUUCUUUUUUUUUAACUUCAUCUCAUCCUAAAAAUCAAUGAGCAAUGUUCUUUUAUUUUUUUUUCUUCCCUGGCUUUAUAACCUAAGGAAAUAGGUUUUCUGGUAUGUUUACUUGUUCAUUUUUAACUUGCAGUAAUCAUGAGAGAUUGGUGCCCUGUGUUUCCUAUGUAACUCACAGUCUCAAAUGAUUCACAUGUAUCAUCUUUCUUUUCUCAAAACCUUAAAGUGUUAUUUUAUACCUGGUCUCUGAUCAUUUACCGUCC